GGCUCGUUGGUCUAGGGGCAUGAUUCCUGCUUUGGGUGCAGGAGGUCCUGGGUUCAACUCCCCGACAAGCCC
rfam:Alligator mississippiensis ScZkoYb_1572, whole genome shotgun sequence.